GGAAGGAUCAUUAACACAUUGUCCAUUUGAUGGUGAAUUUGGUAUUAGAUGUAGUAAUACGUCUAUUGCUAAUUCAUCAUUCAAACAACAUUAGAGAAUGAGUUGACAAGUCAUCAACCAUUUUAUUCUUUUAAAAUGAUUGAGUGAAUAAUCAAAUCAUGAUAUCACGCUCAGUAAGACUAGGUAAUACUAGUAGUACUCGACUGAUGUUUUCUAAAAACAAAAAACAAAAUAUAACCAAGACAACUUGUAACAGUGGAUACCUUGGUUCCCAGGUCGAUGAAGAGCGCAGCGAACUGCGAUAAGUCAUGUGAAUUGCAGAAUUCCGUGAAUCAUCGAACUCUUGAACGCAAAUUGCACUUGGGUGUUGAGCUCAAGUGUGCCUGCUCGAGUGUCGGCAAUAAAUCCUCUCAAUCUGAUUGAGAAAAUGAGAGUUCAGACUAUCUGAUCUCUUUAAGAGUAUGGAAUGUAUGAUUUACGUUUGAAGCUUAUCACUCUUUUGAAAAGGUUAAGUUUACGAAAUCGAAUAAAUUAAUAGGCUUCAUUGCCUUGCAAUCUUAUUUUGAAAUUAGUUCGAUCUAUCUUUUCAUACGAUGAGUUAGUUUAUCAUAUAAUGACUAGUCGAAUAGUACGCCAAGUGCUAGAUGACAAAUUUCAUAAUAUACUCGACCUCGAAUUAGGCAAGAUCACCCGGUGGACUUAAGCAUAUUAUUAACCGGAGGAAAAGAAACUAACAAGGAUGCCCUUAGUAACGGCGAGUGAAGCGGGCAGAGCUCAAAUUUAAAAUCUAAGAGCCUUAUGGUUCUUCGAAUUGUAGUUUUUGGAUCGUUAGUCACGGAGGCGUCUGGGCGGGAGUAAGUUCUUUGGAACAAGGCGUCAGAGAGGGUGAGAACCCCGUAUGCGUCCCUCCAGGCGUUUCAAUAGGUGUCUAGCUUUUCACGAGUCGGGUUGUUUGGGAUUGCAGCCCUAAAUAGGUGGUAGAUCUCAUCUAAAGCUAAAUAUUCCUGGGAGACCGAUAGCGAAGAAGUAGUGUGAACGAAAGGUGAAAAGAACUUUGAAAAGAAGGUGAAAAGUACUUGAAGCUGUUCCAAGGGAACCGUAUGGAAGCAGUGAUUGUUUGCUGGCAAUUCAGCGUGCGACGUGCUUACGUGUUGGACACUCGGAGGUGUAUGCCCCGGAGUGCUGAGCGUUUAGGUAUGUGGCGCGUGUACUUUGUCGGUGAACGAGUCAACAUCAGUUUGUUGGGCGACGGAGAAAGGUGUGAGGAAGGUAGGUUGGCCUCUCGGGGUCCUCUGUUAUAACCUCACAUUGCAUACGUCGUCUCAGACUGAGGAAAGAAAACACGUGCCUCGGCGAGGUAGUUGGCGGACCCGUGGUUGUGUGUGCGUACGUCUGCUUGCAGGGUGCGUGCACGAUGGCUACGGCAUAAGUUGACCCAUCUGCGUGUUAGGGAUGUUGACGAAAUGCUUUCCUAUGACCCGUCUUGAAACACGGACCAAGGAGUCUAACAUGUAUGCGAGUAUUUGGGUGGCAAACCCGAGUGCGCAACGAAAGUGAGAGAUGCGAGUCUGUCAAAGGAUGCAGCAUCGACCGACUGUUUUUAGGAACGGAUCGCGUCGGAGCACACAUGAUGGGACCCGAAAGAUGGUGAACUUUGCGUGCGCAGGGUGAAGCCAGAGGAAACUCUGGUGGAGGCUCGUAGAGAUACUGACGUGCAAAUCGUUCUUCUGACGUGCGUAAAGGGGCGAAAGACUAAUCGAACCAUCUAGUAGCUGGUUUACAC
rnacentral:misc_RNA from 1 species